GACGAACGUUGGCGGCGUGCCUUACACAUGCAAGUCGUACGCGAAAGGGGAAACCAGCUUGCUGGGGACCCCGAGUAGAGUGGCGAACGGGAGCGUAACACGUGAGGAACCUGCCUCGGAGUGGGGAAUAACCCAGAGAAAUCUGGGCUAAUUCCGCAUGAUGCAGCGGCCCCGCACGGGGACAGUUGUUAAAGACCGCCUCUGCUUGCAAGCGGUCGCUUCGAGAUGGUCUCGCGGCCUAUCAGCUAGUUGGCGGGGUAAUGGCCCACCAAGGCGACGACGGGUAGCCGGCCUGAGAGGGUGUCCGGCCUCAUUGGGGCUGAGACACGGCCCAGACUCCUACGGGAGGCAGCAGUGAGGAAUCUUGCGCAAUGGGCGAAAGCCUGACGCAGCGACGCCGCGUGAGGGAUGAAGGCCUCGG
rnacentral:rRNA from 1 species